rnacentral:rRNA from 1 species
UAUUGCACAAUGGGGGAAACCCUGAUGCAGCGACGCCGCGUGAGUGAAGAAGCGUUUCGGCGCGUAAAGCUCUGUCAGCGGGGAAGAAACACGGUUCGCGAGAGCCGCGGACGGUACCCGACCAAGAAGCCCCGGCUAACUACGUGCCAGCAGCCGCGGUAAUACGUAGGGGGCAAGCGUUAUCCGGAUUUACUGGGUGUAAAGGGAGCGUAGACGGCCAGACAAGUCAGAAGUGAAAGCCCAGGGCUCAACCCUGGGACUGCUUUUGAAACUGCCGGGCUGGAGUGCAGGAGAGGUAAGCGGAAUUCCUAGUGUAGCGGUGAAAUGCGUAGAUAUUAGGAGGAACACCAGUGGCGAAGGCGGCUUACUGGACUGUAACUGACGUUGAGGCUCGAAAGCGUGGGGAGCAAACAGG